rnacentral:rRNA from 1 species
UACGUAGGGGGCUAGCGUUGUCCGGAAUUAUUGGGCGUAAAGAGCUCGUAGGCGGUUUGUCGCGUCGGCUGUGAAAACUCGGGGCUCAACCCCGAGCUUGCAGUCGAUACGGGCAGACUAGAGUUCGGCAGGGGAGACUGGAAUUCCUGGUGUAGCGGUGAAAUGCGCAGAUAUCAGGAGGAACACCGGUGGCGAAGGCGGGUCUCUGGGCCGUAACUGACGCUGAGGAGCGAAAGCAUGGGGAGCGAACAGG